CUACGGGUGGCUGCAGUGAGGAAUAUUGGUCAAUGGGCGCGAGCCUGAACCAGCCAUCCCGCGUGCAGGAUGACGGCCCUAUGGGUUGUAAACUGCUUUUCUAUGCCAAGAAACCUGAUUACGUGUAAUCAGUUGCCGGUAGCAUAGGAAUAAGCAUCGGCUAACUCCGUGCCAGCAGCCGCGGUAAUACGGAGGAUGCAAGCGUUAUCCGGAUUCAUUGGGUUUCAAGGGUGCGCAGGUGGGCUUGUAAGUCAGUGGUGAAAUGCUGCCGCUUAACGGUAGAACUGCCAUUGAUACUGCGAGUCUUGAGUAUGGUUGAGGUAGGCGGAAUGUGUUGUGUAGCGGUGAAAUGCAUAGAUAUGACACAGAACGCCAAUUGCGAAGGCAGCUUACUAAGCCAUUACUGACGCUGAGGCACGAAAGCGUGGGGAGCGAACAGGAUUAGAUACCCGCGUAGUC
rnacentral:rRNA from 1 species